GCUGAAGUUGUGGAUGGUUGUGAGUGACAGGGCUCCUGGGGACUGAACCCAGAGAGAAAGUACUGAGCGUGCUUCCAUCAAGACAAAGUGGGGCUGAGGACACAUUGGCACGGAGAAAGUUUCUGUUGCCACCACAGGCUACUGUUUACCUGUUCCUUACACACACCUUCAGCAAGAGAGGCAGCUGCCACAAGGCCCAACCUUCAUCCCUGAAAGGAGAACCAAAGCCUGGAGAGGAAGCGCUGGGACCCAGGGUGGUGACUUCGGGAGAAAGGGAGGGGUUACUGACUCACCCUUCCUGUAGACUAGC